rnacentral:rRNA from 1 species
CCGGCUCACGUCGAACGCUGGCGGCGCGCCUAACACAUGCAAGUCGAACGAGCGAGAGAGAGCUUGCUUUCUCGAGCGAGUGGCGAACGGGUGAGUAACGCGUGAGGAACCUGCCUCAAAGAGGGGGACAACAGUUGGAAACGACUGCUAAUACCGCAUAAGCCCACGGGUCGGCAUCGACCAGAGGGAAAAGGAGCAAUCCGCUUUGAGAUGGCCUCGCGUCCGAUUAGCUAGUUGGUGAGGUAACGGCCCACCAAGGCGACGAUCGGUAGCCGGACUGAGAGGUUGAACGGCCACAUUGGGACUGAGACACGGCCCAGACUCCUACGGGAGGCAGCAGUGGGGAAUAUUGCACAAUGGGGGAAACCCUGAUGCAGCGACGCCGCGUGGAGGAAGAAGGUCUUCGGAUUGUAAACUCCUGUUGUUGAGGAAGAUAAUGACGGUACUCAACAAGGAAGUGACGGCUAACUACGUGCCAGCAGCCGCGGUAAAACGUAGGUCACAAGCGUUGUCCGGAAUUACUGGGUGUAAAGGGAGCGCAGGCGGGAAGACAAGUUGGAAGUGAAAUCCAUGGGCUCAACCCAUGAACUGCUUUCAAAACUGUUUUUCUUGAGUAGUGCAGAGGUAGGCGGAAUUCCCGGUGUAGCGGUGGAAUGCGUAGAUAUCGGGAGGAACACCAGUGGCGAAGGCGGCCUACUGGGCACCAACUGACGCUGAGGCUCGAAAGUGUGGGUAGCAAACAGGAUUAGAUACCCUGGUAGUCCACACCGUAAACGAUGAUUACUAGGUGUUGGAGGAUUGACCCCUUCAGUGCCGCAGUUAACACAAUAAGUAAUCCACCUGGGGAGUACGACCGCAAGGUUGAAACUCAAAGGAAUUGACGGGGGCCCGCACAAGCAGUGGAGUAUGUGGUUUAAUUCGACGCAACGCGAAGAACCUUACCAAGUCUUGACAUCCUGCGACGGUGCUGGAAACAGUGCUUUCCUUCGGGACGCAGAGACAGGUGGUGCAUGGUUGUCGUCAGCUCGUGUCGUGAGAUGUUGGGUUAAGUCCCGCAACGAGCGCAACCCUUAUGGUCAGUUACUACGCAAGAGGACUCUGGCCAGACUGCCGUUGACAAAACGGAGGAAGGUGGGGAUGACGUCAAAUCAUCAUGCCCUUUAUGACUUGGGCUACACACGUACUACAAUGGCGUUAAACAAAGAGAAGCAAGACCGCGAGGUGGAGCAAAACUCAGAAACAACGUCCCAGUUCGGACUGCAGGCUGCAACUCGCCUGCACGAAGUCGGAAUUGCUAGUAAUCGUGGAUCAGCAUGCCACGGUGAAUACGUUCCCGGGCCUUGUACACACCGCC